UACAGAGGGUGCGAGCGUUAAUCGGAGUUACUGGGCGUAAAGGGCGCGUAGGCGGUUGUAUGAGUGUGAUGUGAAAGCCCCGGGCUUAACCUGGGAAGUGCAUCGCAAACGAUACAACUGGAGUAUAUGAGAGGGUGGCGGAAUUUCCGGUGUAGCGGUGAAAUGCGUAGAGAUCGGAAGGAACGUCGAUGGCGAAGGCAGCCACCUGGCAUAAUACUGACGCUGAGGCGCGAAAGCGUGGGGAGCGAACAGG
rnacentral:rRNA from 1 species